GAUGAACGCUGGCGGCGUGCCUAAUACAUGCAAGUCGAACGAGGUGCUUUUGUAGCCAUCCGAGAGUAUCCUAGUGGCGAACGGGUGAGUAACGCGUUGGUGACCUACCCCAAAGUGUGGAAUAACAGUCCGAAAGGAUUGCUAAUACCGCAUGUGGUUAUCGGGUUUAGAAACUGAUAACUAAAGGAGCAAUUCGCUUUGGGAGGGACCUGCGUCCCAUCAGCUAGUUGGUGAGGUAAUGGCUCACCAAGGCUACGACGGGUAGGGGACCUGAGAGGGUGACCCCCCACAAUGGAACUGAAACACGGUCCAUACACCUACGGGUGGCAGCAGUAGGGAAUAUUGCACAAUGGGCGAAAGCCUGAUGCAGCAACGCCGCGUGCACGAUGAAGGCCUUCGGGUCGUAAAGUGCUUUUCUGGGAGAUGAGAAAGGACAGUAGCCCAGGAAUAAGUCUCGGCUAACUACGUG
rnacentral:rRNA from 1 species